rnacentral:rRNA from 1 species
AGCGAACGCUGGCGGCAGGCCUAACACAUGCAAGUCGAACGGCAGCACAGUAAGAGUUUGCUCUUACGCAUGCCGAGUAACGGACUGGUGAGGAAUACCGCGGAGUCUACUAUUUCGUGGGGGAUAUCGUCGGGAAACUUAGGUUAAUACCGCAUACGACCUAUGAGUGAAAGCAGCAGCACAUCAUACCUUUCGAGUGUGUAUGAGCCGAUGUCGCACUAGCUAGUUGACGGGGUAAAGGCCCACCAAGGCGAUGAUCCGUAGCUGGUCUGAGAGGAUGAUCAGCCACACUGGAACUGAGACACGGCCCAGACUCCUACGGGAGGCAGCAGUAGGGAAUAUUGGACAAUGGGCGCAAGCCUGAUCCAGCCAUACCGCGUGAGUGAAGAAGGGCUUCGGCUUGUAAAGCCCUUUUGUUGGGAAAGAAAAGCAGCAGGUUAAUACGCCGCUGUUCUGACGGUACCCAAAGAGUAAGCACCGGCUAACUUCGUG